AUGAAAGGGAUCAUGGGAGACAUCUGUCUCCACAGACAUUAGUAUGAAAUUAGUGAGUAAGUGAAAAUACUUACAGUAUGAAAAUAGACGAGAAGACCCUAGAAGCUUGUUUUUCGUUUUGUUGGGGCGACAGAAUUGCAUUAAAACCAAUUUUAUUAUAUGUGACGCAAGCUGUAAAAUUAAGCUACUCUAGGGAUAACAGCAUAAUAAUGAUUUGUUUGUGACCUCGAUGUUGGACUAGGUAGAAUAGUCUUUAGAAGAGACUAAAAAUGCUCUGUUCGAGCAGUUUAACCUACA
rnacentral:rRNA from 1 species